rnacentral:rRNA from 1 species
CUUAGAAGCAGCCAUCCUUGAAAGAGUGCGUAAUAGCUCACUGGUCGAGUGGUUCCGCGCCGACAAUGUAGUGGGGCUCAAGUACACCGCCGAAGCCGCGGCAACAAUGUUUUGUUGGGUAGGGGAGCGUCGUGCAUGGUGUGAAGCAGUACCGUGAGGGGUUGUGGACUGUGUGCGAGUGAGAAUGCAGGCAUGAGUAACGAGUGUAAGGUGAGAAUCCUUACCGCUGGAUGACUAAGGGUUCCUGGGUCAAGUUCGUCUUCCCAGGGUGAGUCGGGUCCUAAGGCGAGGCCGACAGGCGUAGUCGAUGGUCAACGGGUUGAUAUUCCCGUACCCGUGUGUGUGCGUCAAGUGAUGAAGCGGUGAUACUAACCACCCUGAUCGCUGGCCAUGGCACUACUUUGUGGUGCUGGGUUGGUGUGAUGCGUGGGGCCUGAGUCGUUGUAGUCAAGUGAUGGGGUGACGCAGUGUGGUAGCCAAGCCACUUAUUGGAUUGUGGUGUAAGCGUGUGGCACGACGGUGUGUGAAAUGCCAUCGUUAUUGUGUGUGAGGCGUGAUGCGUAGCCCAGUGUUGGGUGAUGUUGGUGAUCCUGUGCUGUCGAGAAAAGCCUCUAGCGAGUGUGCAUACGGCCCGUACCCGAAACCGACACAGGUGGUCAGGUAGAGAAUACUAAAGCGGUCGGGUGAACUGUGGUUAAGGAAUUCGGCAAAAUUCCCCCGUAACUUCGGGAGAAGGGGGACCUGUGCUGGUGGCCGCAUUUUUCGUGUGGUGUGCUGGUGUGGGUCGCAGAGAAGAGAGGGGAGCGACUGUUUAUCAAAAACACAGGUCCGUGCGAAGACGGUUAAGUUGAUGUAUACGGACUGACGCCUGCCCGGUGCUGGAAGGUUACGAGGACCUGUUAGAUCCUUUGUUGGGUCGAAGCGGAGAAUUUAAGCCCCAGUAAACGGCGGUGGUAACUAUAACCAUCCUAAGGUAGCGAAAUUCCUUGUCGGGUAAGUUCCGACCUGCACGAAUGGCGUAACGACUCCCCUGCUGUCUCAACCACAGGCCCGGUGAAAUUGCAGUACGAGUAAAGAUGCUCGUUUCGCGCGGCAGGACGAAAAGACCCCGGGACCUUCACUAUAGCUUGGUAUUGGCAUUCGGUGCGGUUUGUGUAGGAUAGGUGGGAGACUGUGAAGCAUUGACGCUAGUUGGUGUGGAGUCGUUGUUGAAAUACCACUCUGACCGUAGUGGAUAUCUAACCUUGGCCCAUGAUCUGGGUUGGGGACAGUGCCUGGUGGGUAGUUUAACUGGGGCGGUUGCCUCCCAAAAUGUAACGGAGGCGCCCAAAGGUUCCCUCAGCCUGGUUGGCAAUCAGGUGGUGAGUG